rnacentral:rRNA from 1 species
ACUGGUUACGAUGUCGACUUGGAGGUUGUGCCCUUGAGGCGUGGCUUCCGGAGCUAACGCGUUAAGUCGACCGCCUGGGGAGUACGGCCGCAAGGUUAAAACUCAAAUGAAUUGACGGGGGCCCGCACAAGCGGUGGAGCAUGUGGUUUAAUUCGAUGCAACGCGAAGAACCUUACCUACUCUUGACAUCCACGGAAUUUGGCAGAGAUGCCUUAGUGCCUUCGGGAACCGUGAGACAGGUGCUGCAUGGCUGUCGUCAGCUCGUGUUGUGAAAUGUUGGGUUAAGUCCCGCAACGAGCGCAACCCUUAUCCUUUGUUGCCAGCGAUUCGGUCGGGAACUCAAAGGAGACUGCCAGUGAUAAACUGGAGGAAGGUGGGGAUGACGUCAAGUCAUCAUGGCCCUUACGAGUAGGGCUACACACGUGCUACAAUGGCAUAUACAAAGAGAAGCGACCUCGCGAGAGCAAGCGGACCUCAUAAAGUAUGUCGUAGUCCGGAUCGGAGUCUGCAACUCGACUCCGUGAAGUCGGAAUCGCUAGUAAUCGUGGAUCAGAAUGCCACGGUGAAUACGUUCCCGGGCCUUGUACACACCGCCCGUCACACCAUGGGAGUGGGUUGCAAAAGAAGUAGGUAGCUUAACCUUCGGGAGGGCGCUUACCACUUUGUGAUUCAUGACUGGGGUGAAGUC